UACAGAGGUGGCAAGCGUUGUUCGGAAUUACUGGGCGUAAAGGGCGCGUAGGCGGUCUUGCAAGUCCCGUGUGAAAUCCCUCGGCUCAACUGAGGAACUGCACGGGAAACUGCUUGGCUUGAGUUCGGGAGAGGGAAGCGGAAUUCCGGGUGUAGCGGUGAAAUGCAUUGAGAUCGGAAAGAACACCAACGGCGAAAGCACUCUGCUGGGCCGACACUGACACUGAGAGACGAAAGCUAGGGGAGCAAAUGGG
rnacentral:rRNA from 1 species